rnacentral:rRNA from 1 species
UACGGAAGGCAGCAGUGGGGAAUAUUGCACAAUGGGCGAAAGCCUGAUGCAGCUAUGCCGCGUGUAUGAAGAAGGCCUUAGGGUUGUAAAGUACUUUCAUCGGGGAGGAAAAAACAAAACUAAUAAUUUUAUUUCUUGACGUUACCCGAAAAAGAAGCACCGGCUAACUCCGUGCCAGCAGCCGCGGUAAUACGGAGGGUGCUAACGUUAAUCAGAAUUACUGGGCGUAAAAGAGCACGUAGGUGGUUUUUUUAAAGUCAGAUGUGAAAAUCCCCUGGGGCUUUAACCUAGGAACUGCAUUUUUGAAACUGAAAAUACUAGAGUAUCGUAGAGGGAGGUAGAAUUCUAGGUGUAGCGGUGAAAUGCGUAGAUAUCUGGAGGAAUACCUGUGGCGAAAGCGGCCUCCUAAACGAAUACUGACACUGAGGGUGCGAAAGCGUGGGGAGCAAACAGGGAUUAGAUACC